GGGAGGGAGUGACUAGUGACAGAGUGAGGGAGGGAGUGACUAGUGACAGAGGGAGGGAGGGAGUGACUAGUGACAGAGGGAGGGAUGGGGUGACUAGUGACAGUCACCACCUCCUUCACUCUGUCACUGUGUCACCCCCUUCCUCACUCUGUCACUGUGUCACCUCUUCCUCACUCUGUCACUAGUCACCCACUCCCUCCCUCACUCUGUCACUAGUCACCCCCUCUCACUCUUUCACUAGUCACCCCCUCUCUCACUCUGUCACCAGUCAUUCCUUCACUCUGUCACCAGUCAUCCCUUCCUUCCC
rnacentral:sRNA from 1 species